UAGCAGAGGGUGCAAGCGUUGUCCGGAAGUUAUUGGGCGUAAAGAGCUCGUAGGCGGUUCGUCGCGUCGGCUGUGAAAACCGUGAGGCUCAACCCUCAGGCCUGCAGUCGAUACGGGCGGACUUGAGUACUGCAGGGGAGACUGGAAGUUCCGUGGUGUAGCGGUGAAAUGCGCAGAUAUCAGGAGGAACACCGGUGGCGAAGGCGGGUCUCUGGGCAGUGAACUG
rnacentral:rRNA from 1 species